UACGUAGGGUGCAAGCGUUGUCCGGAAUUAUUGGGCGUAAAGAGCUCGUAGGCGGUUUGUCACGUCGGAUGUGAAAUCCCGGGGCUUAACCUCGGGUCUGCAUUCGAUACGGGCUGACUAGAGUUCGGUAGGGGAGACUGGAAUUCCUGGUGUAGCGGUGAAAUGCGCAGAUAUCGGGAGGAACACCGGUGGCGAAGGCGGGUCUCUGGGCCGAUACUGACGCUGAGGAGCGAAAGCGUGGGGAGCGAACAGG
rnacentral:rRNA from 1 species